GAUGAACGCUGGCGGCGUGCCUAAUACAUGCAAGUCGAGCGAACAGACGAGGAGCUUGCUCCUCUGACGUUAGCGGCGGACGGGUGAGUAACACGUGGAUAACCUACCUAUAAGACUGGGAUAACUUCGGGAAACCGGAGCUAAUACCGGAUAAUAUAUUGAACCGCAUGGUUCAAUAGUGAAAGACGGUUUUGCUGUCACUUAUAGAUGGAUCCGCGCCGCAUUAGCUAGUUGGUAAGGUAACGGCUUACCAAGGCAACGAUGCGUAGCCGACCUGAGAGGGUGAUCCGCCACACUGGAACUGAGACACGGUCCAGACUCCUACGGGAGGCAGCAGUAGGGAAUCUUCCGCAAUGGGCGAAAGCUUGACGGAGCUACGCCGCGUGAGUGAUGAAGGUCUUCGGAUCGUAAAACUCUGUUAUUAGGGAAGAACAAAUGUGUAAGUAACUAUGCACGUCUUGACGGUACCUAAUCAGAAAGCCACGGCUAACUACGUG
rnacentral:rRNA from 1 species